UGGGGAAUAUUGGACAAUGGGCGCAAGCCUGAUCCAGCCAUACCGCGUGGGUGAAGAAGGCCUUCGGGUUGUAAAGCCCUUUUGUUGGGAAAGAAAAGCAUUCGGUUAAUACCCGAUUGUUCUGACGGUACCCAAAGAAUAAGCACCGGCUAACUUCGUGCCAGCAGCCGCGGUAAUACGAAGGGUGCAAGCGUUACUCGGAAUUACUGGGCGUAAAGCGUGCGUAGGUGGUUGUUUAAGUCUGUCGUGAAAGCCCUGGGCUCAACCUGGGAAUUGCGAUGGAAACUGGGCGACUAGAGUGUGGCAGAGGGUAGUGGAAUUCCUGGUGUAGCAGUGAAAUGCGUAGAGAUCAGGAGGAACAUCCGUGGCGAAGGCGACUGCCUGGGCCAACACUGACACUGAGGCACGAAAGCGUGGGGAGCAAACAGGAUUAGAUACCCUGGUAGUCCACGCCCUAAACGAUGCGAACUGGAUGUUGGGUGCAAUUUGGCACGCAGUAUCGAAGCUAACGCGUUAAGUUCGCCGCCUGGGGAGUACGAUCGCAAGACUGAAACUCAAAGGAAUUGAC
rnacentral:rRNA from 1 species